ensembl:lncRNA
GGCAGAGAUUUAAUAAAACUAAUGGCUAAUGAGACACAGUAGUUAGAAGCUGAGAUCCAACAAACUCAUCCUCCAACUUAAAUUUGGUGAAGAUAGCAAAGAAUCAGUAAUUGCUGAUUCAUCAGAAGUAUAACAUUUUCCAUCACAUGAGUGGACAUCACUUUGGAGGACAAACGUGAAGGUGGGAUCCAGCUUUGCCACCGAUGAAGCAUUGCUUUGCUGAAAUAAAAUAAUGAGCCCCAGAAAUGGGCUUCUGCUUGUCCCUUAACUCUGUCUCUGGCCCCACUUUGGACCUCUCCAAGGAGCUCUCCCCAAAAACAUACACACACACUCGCCAUGGAUGGUUCACAACCACACAGACGUACACUCCAGUGUUCUGCAAUAUCAUCAGCAGAGAAGUUGGUGUGCUUUCCCUAAUGGUGAUGGAAUGAUGGAAAUCUACCUCAUGUUAGGAACUACUACACAGAAUACAUAAAUGCAGUGCUUCUACUCUCAGACAGCCUAGCUUCCCUUAUCUCUGCUCAUAGUAACACUUUACCAACUGUUUUAUUCUGCACUUUUCACAGUUUUAGCUUGUUGCAGAUAAUAUUCUAAUUCUGGCCACCUCCUUACAAUCGUUCUGUAAGUCAGUCAGGCACAACCAAUUUGGGAUCAUUUCAAGUGCUAAAUAAAAAAAGUCUUUGCAGCAAGGAAUCACACUGUAAAAAGUACUGACUGAUUACAUACUGUAUGCUCCUUGUUUUACAGACAUUUAUGCAGCAGAUAAUGGAAGCUAUUCUGCUCUCCAGUUUCUAAGAUUUUUCAAAAACUGAUUAAAAAUAUAUAUAUAUAUCAACUUUUUUUCUUCAACACAGUGCAAAAUCUCGCAGUCCAAACUAACCAUGUAGUUCCUGAACUGGUAAUAAAUGCUAGACUGCAUCAUAAAGAAAUGGAGUGGAAAUAUUUUUUAGUUCAUUCAACAGUUUUCAUAAUAUUUUUCUCUGGCUUUUGGUGAGGUAGAAACAGACUCUGUAAUCUGUUACUCAUCUGCCAAAGACAGGGAAGAUGUUUGUUUUUCUGUCUGAACCAAAUUGAUACUUUUCCCUUUCUGCUGUUUUGCUUUUUAUUAGCUGAAGAGAAUAAGGAGGUAAUAAAAAAGAGGAAUGAAGAUAUGAAGCAUUCUGCAUAGCUUCAGCCCAUAGCAUUGAAAAUAGGAGAGGGGAAUAAUGCUGUUGCGAUUUUGUAUGUAAAAGUUUUCAUAGCAGUUACAUUUGAAGUCUAAACAAAAUGUAAAUUUCUGCAAAAAGUCUGCUAUCAUCAAGACUCCCACAGACAAAAUAUUAGGUAAAGGAAAGAUUUAUUACGGAGUUGGUGCGCUCCGGUGCAAUUGUAGUGUGAAGUGGAGAGGAAUUGUGUCUGGGAGGUUAACAGGGAAUGGGGAGAGUUCAGCCUGAAAGAAGGCAAAACCAACAAAAAUGACUGUGAAUCUUCCACCUCAGUCUCAAUUUGCAGAAUGGGUAAUCAGAAAAAUCUUCUACUUCCCAUUUCAGAAGAUUAGAUAGGGAUUCUCUGAGACAAAGGAUAUGAAUAGAAAAUUUUAAUUUAGAUGAGAUUGCUUGAAUCAACAUAACUGCACUUUAGAAAACCAUGAAUGUGUUUUACAACUCAAAACUACCUCUGGACAGAUGUAGUAUUUUAGCCACACAUAAUAAGAUUUUACAGCAAGUAAUGUUUUGUGUAUCUUAGAAUGUCCAUUCAGAUGGCAGUCUAAAUAAUUGUGUGCUCUGUGGUUUAACAAAAGAGCCAUGAGGCAUUAUACCUGGCUGUUUAAAAUUGCAUAUAGCAUAUAUUAGGUAAUGCAUGUUAUAAAAAUUCAUGGGUUUAUAUAUAUAACACACGUAACACACAGCAUUGCAUAAUACAUCUUAUGUUAUACCUAGGUCAAUCUGAAAGUAAUGCCUCCUAUUUAUUUCCAUGGAAACUAUGACAGAUACAAAGAGCCCUGUAACACUGUUUGACAGAGCAGAUCCUCAGCUACAAAACGCUAUUUUGCAACACAGUCACCACCAUUAGCUAUGCAUUCUCACCAGAAUAACAAGAUAAACAAGAGAAUAAUAGAUAAACAAGAGAAUGCAUUCUACACUCAUAAAAAUCUGCACCAGCAGAGGUGAACGCUGUCACUGCCGCCACAGCUGAAAUGCACCACACACUGCCUCACUGUGUUCACAUCCACUGUUAGGUCUCCAGAAAAGUUCAGAAAGUGUCAAUGAAUGUCAAUGGGUACCAUUUUUUCCACAUGGAGAGGUUCAGCGCCACCCCUUUGCUUCAUCCGCACUUCCACGUCAGACUCCAUUGUGUCAGGCUGCCCCUCCGAUGCCAUCUGUCACACAGCAAUAACCUUGGCAAACAAAAGUAGCAGCAUCCAAAAUGAUUCCUUUAUGGUACCAGUAUAACUAUACUGCAGGUUCACUGUAGUCUGGCUGUAAAAUCUCUUUGUUUUAUUCUUUUCCUGUGCCCUCCUGCCCUUCGAUAACUUUUCAGAGCACUGAAAGUUACGUGCCAUAGGUAAGUGAAGUU